CCUACGGGGGGCAGCAGUCGAGAAUCAUUCACAAUGGGGGAAACCCUGAUGGUGCGACGCCGCGUGGGGGAAUGAAGGUCUUCGGAUUGUAAACCCCUGUCAUGUGGGAGCAAAUUAAAAAGAUAGUACCACAAGAGGAAGAGACGGCUAACUCUGUGCCAGCAGCCGCGGUAAUACAGAGGUCUCAAGCGUUGUUCGGAAUCACUGGGCGUAAAGCGUGCGUAGGCUGUUUCGUAAGUCGUGUGUGAAAGGCGCGGACUCAACCCGCGGACGGCACAUGAUACUGCGAGACUAGAGUAAUGGAGGGGGAACCGGAAUUCUCGGUGUAGCAGUGAAAUGCGUAGAUAUCGAGAGGAACACUCGUGGCGAAGGCGGGUUCCUGGACAUUAACUGACGCUGAGGCACGAAGGCCAGGGGAGCGAAAGGGAUUAGAUACCCUAGUAGUC
rnacentral:rRNA from 1 species